rnacentral:rRNA from 1 species
GAUGAACGCUAGCGGCAGGCCUAACACAUGCAAGUCGAGGGAGGAGCCUUCGGGCUUCGACCGGCGUACGGGUGCGUAACGCGUAUACAAUCUGCCUUUCACAUAGGGAUAGCCCGAAGAAAUUUGGAUUAAUACCUAAUGGUAUAUAGAUGUGGCAUCACCUUUAUAUUAAAGCUGAGGCGGUGAAAGAUGAGUAUGCGUUCUAUUAGCUAGUUGGAGAGGUAACGGCUCCCCAAGGCGACGAUAGAUAGGGGUUCUGAGAGGGAUAUCCCCCACACUGGUACUGAGAUACGGACCAGACUCCUACGGGAGGCAGCAGUGAGGAAUAUUGGACAAUGGUCGGAAGACUGAUCCAGCCAUGCCGCGUGCAGGAAGACGGCCUUAUGGGUUGUAAACUGCUUUUGCAGGGGAAGAAUAAGGACUACGCGUAGUCUGAUGACGGUACUCUGCGAAUAAGCAUCGGCUAACUCCGUG